AACGCACAUUGCGCCCGCUAGUAUUCUGGCGGGCAUGCCUGUUCGAGCGUCAUUUCAACCCUUAAGCCCUGUUGCUUAGCGUUGGGAGCCUACAGUACUGUAGCUCCCCAAAGUUAGUGGCGGAGUCGGUUUCACACUCUAGACGUAGUAAAUUUUUCUCGUCUGUAGUUGAGCCGGUCCCCUGCCGUAAAACACCCAAUUUAUCAAGGUUGACCUCGGAUCAGGUAGGAAUACCCGCUGAACUUAA
rnacentral:misc_RNA from 1 species